CCGCGCUCUGGGCCACGCCCUCAAGUGUUCUCUCAGCAGAUGGCGUAUAAAAGAGGUAUCCUUCCGCAAAGCUCUGGGGAGAAAAGUCCUCUAGCUCGUCCCCUUCCACGAAGACCUCAAAGACGGGGCCAAAUGGAAAAGAUCUGACAGGAAGUUCCUGCAGCUCAGGCUCAUGGGCUUAUGUAGCCAGCCCAGCAAGGGGAAGAACAGACAUUCCUAAAGCCACUGGGACCGCACUGAAUUCCAAAGUGGAGCCCACAGUGCAGAUGGCAAUCGAUUCUGGAGCUGGCAAUUAUGAUACGCUUUGCUGUAUUUAUCCGUACAAAACAUCUUUCACAGGUUUUCAGUGGUAUAAAUGGCCUUACGAAUAUUGGAAGAAUUGUCUCUAAAGACAGGAAUCACAGGCAUCUAUUGUGGCCAUAAAGGAUCUUCUGAGGAGGAAAAAGAGAGAGAAAGCUUUAUUCCUUAAGUUCAUUAUUUUAUUAGAAUACUUUAAACAUAUCUAUUGUUUGCACACAAAGAAUGCAAAAUAAUCCUUUAUGAACACAAACUAUAAAAGACACCAGAUCAAUUAUAAAUGGGUCAGAAUGCUUGUAUCUGAUUAUUCCCUAGCACGGUGUGUUAGACAUGGUACAGCGCAAAGGAAAGGAUGAUCACUUUUCUGGGUUUGCUAUCUUAACAUACAUGUAUGUUCCCCAAAUCUCUUUUGUAGACUCUUUCAAAAUUAACAAAAAGUGAGCAGUGAAAAUGGUAGCUCAAUCAGCAAUAUAAAUCUUGCUUUAUAAGCAGACUGUUAGCAUAAUAAACCAGGAUGUGCUAUAAUUAUUAUGAAUUUA
rnacentral:lncRNA from 1 species